CUUAAAAUGCGAAUUUUUUUUUUAGGUUUUGACAUUUUUGCUACAUUAAGUGCUCAUGCUCAUUUGCUGUUCAACAUGGAUUGACAGUCAUUUUGGAAGAAAAUGGUCUGUGAAACUUCAUCAGAAAACAAUGUCAAUGGAAGGAUCAUUAAUUGUUGAAUGUCUUUAGUAUUAAGUCUCAUGAAAUAAAAUAACUAAUAAAUGAUCGGAUAAUCAUAGACCAUAAUUUGUGAUUCUAUUAUCUGAUAUCUCUACAAAAUGUGUUUUUUUUUUCAAUUAAAUAAAAGGCUAAGUUGUGUAGUAUUGUAUAUUGCAUCUACAAUUUCCAGUGAUGUAUAUAAAUCAUAUUGAACAACUUUGCCAAUUUUGAUGAAAUUGAUAUUUUAUACAUAACAUUACAUAAAUAAAACAAAAUAAGUACACAAGAUGAAAAAUACAUUUUUAUUUAGAAUAAUUGUUUAGAUACUGUUACUAGUACCACAAUGCUGACAAAUGUACCCUUUUCAAUGUGUUCAACAAGUGAUUGUGCUCACACUUUUAUCUCUCAAUAUUUUUAUGCCCCCGAAUCGAAAGAUCGGGGGUAUAUUGUUUUUGGCUUGUCCGUCUAUCUGUCAUUCAUUGUGUCCCAAAACUUUAACAUUGGUUAAAGUUUUGCAAUAACUUUUGCAUUAUUGAAGAUAGCAACUUGAUAUUUGGCAUGCAUGUGUAUCUAAUGGAGCUGCACAUUUUGAGAGGUGAAAGGUCAAGGUCAUCCUUAAAGGUCAAAUAUAUGGCUUCAAAGCGGCGCAAUAGGGGGCAUUGUGUUUCUGACAAACAUAUCUCUGUUUAGUUCACCUGAGCACAACGUGCUCAUGGUGAGCUAUUGUGAUCGCCUUUUUGUCCGUUGUGCGUCCGUCAUCAACAUUUGCCUUGUGAACACUCUAUUGUCAAAUCUUCAUGAAACUUGGUGAGAACAUUUGUCCCAAUGAUACCUCGACCGAGUUCGAAACUGGGUCAUGCUGGAUCAAAAACUAGGUCAUUAGGUAAAAAAAAAGAAAAAUCUUGUGAACACUGUUGAAGUCACAUUUGAUGCCCAAUCUUCAUGUAACUUUGUCAAAAUGUUUGUCUUAAUGAUAUGUUGGUUGAGUUCAAAAAUGGUUCCGGUCCAUUAAAAAACAUGGCCGCCAGGGGGCUGGGCAGUAUUCCUUAUAUGGCUAUAUAGAAACCUUGUGAACACUCUAGAAGUAACAAUUUUUGCCCAGUCAUCAUGAAACUUGGUCAAAACAUUAGUUUCAUUGAUAUCUCGGACGAGUUUGAAAAUGGUCCAAAUCGGUGAAAAAACAUGGCCACCAGGGGACGGGGCAGUUUUCUCUAUAUGUAAAUAGUGAAAACAUGUGAACGCUCUAGAAGCCACAUUUUUGGUCCAAUCUUCAUGAAAUUUGUUCAGAACAUUUAUUUCCUGGAUACGACAGUUGAGUUUGAAAAUGGUUAGGAUCAGUAAAAAAACAUGGCCGCCAGGGGCAGGGCAGUUUUGCUUAUAUGGCUAUAGUUAAACCUUGUUAACACUCUAGGAGUCACAUUUAUAGUCAAAUCCUCAUGAAACUUGGUCUGAACAUUUUUUUUUAUAAUAGCUAGGCUGAGUUUAAAAAUGGUUUCGGUCUGUUGAAAAAUAAAGCAGCCAGGGGGCGGGGCAGCUUUGCUAAUAUGGCUAUAGUGAAACCUUGUUAACACUCUAGAAGUAACAUUUAUAGCCCAAUCUUCAUGGAACUUGGUCCGAAGAUUAGUUGUAUUGAUAGCUUGGCUGAGUUCGAAAAUGGUUACGGUUUGUUGAAAAACAUGGCAGCCAGGGUAGCGGCAGUUUUCAUAAUAUGACUAUAUUAAAUUAACACUCUAGUUGUAAUGCGGAUGUUGGUGCACAAUGAUGAUGAUGAUGACGAUGAUAAUGAUUAUGAUGAUACUGGUAAUGAAGUGUUACAUAUGAAUCUUAUUUGGCUUUUUAUUCACUUAUCCUAGGCUACUCUCUAUAAAACUCAUUUAUACCUGUGCCUGCAUUGUUGCCAGGUGGUAAUUGUGUAACACUCCUGGAAAUUGACCCCCAUUAACUGGUCACUUUCAUCAAAGAACUUUGUGUUGAUGUCAGAUGGAAACCAUUCAUAAGAUACAUAAGACAUUACAACUUUAAAUAUUUUACCCCUACAAUUUUCAGUUAGUCAGUAGUUUGUGUGUGAUUAUGAAAGAUUUGUGAUUUUAGCAGGUUUUAUUGUUGUUUCAAUUGGAAAUAUCAAUGCAAGGUGAGUCCUAAAAUUGUUUCAGUUGUUUAAAACACUUUUUCAAAAAUGUGAACAAUUUGGUAGUAAAAAAACAACAACUUAUCACAUCUUUUAAGAAGCACAAACAACUGUUUGAAGAAAAGUUGAUUUGCAUUUGUUUUUGCAAAAAUAAUAUAUUUAUGCUACAGAUUUUUUUUGCAUUUAAAUUACAAAUAGUUUGAUAGUUGUUUUGAUAUGAUACGUUUUCAAAUGUCUUGUGUAUGUUUACUUCUAUAUUUGCACACAUUUAUAACUAUAAGAAAGAUCAAAUGAUGUUUUGUACUAUAAAAGAAGAUCAAUCUUGAAUUUCUAGUAGCUUUACAUAUUCUCAUACUCAUUUACUUUUUUAUAACUGACUUUGAUAUAUAAAAACAAUUCAACAUAUUUAAUUAUGCAAAAAAUAUUUUAUAAAAACACAAUCUCUUGAACAAAUACAGUUGUUUUCAGUAUCUAAAAGUGUCCUUGCUAAAAAGAUUGUUAACAGUCAUCCCCUAUAAGAUGCUGAGAUGCUUAUCUCAUGAUCUCAAGUUUGGACAACAAUUUGUUGAAAAAUGUACUUCCAUUUUCUUUUGCUGAUGCUCAUUAUUAAAUUACUGUCCUCAUAUUACUUUUAUCCAAAAUAAUUUAAGCUUUGUCGCAACGGGUAACAAAUGUCUAUUUAAAAAAAUUGAAACACACACACACAAAACUACUGAUAACGCAUAUAUGUAUAUAAUUAUCUGCUGAAACAGCAAACCUCUUCUUUUCACAAAACAACGUUAACAACCCUUGUUUCCUGGAUACGACGGAUAUGAAGGUCGAGUUCAAAAAUGGUUUUGAUCCAUCUAGUAACAUGAUCGCCAGCCUCAGGGGGGGGGGGGGGGUCAUUUUCCUUAUAUUUAUAUACUGAAAAAGCCUGUGAACACUCAAAAGUCACAUGUUUUGGCCAAUCAUCACGAAACUUUGUCAAAACUUUGGUUUUAUUGAUAUGUCGGAUGAGUUUGAAAAUGGUCGUGAUCAGCGGAAAAAUAUUGCCGCCAGGGGAUGGGGCAGUUUUCAAUAUAUGUUUGUAAGAAGAAUUUUCCUUAAAUACAUUUUUUUUAAAUCUGGGUAUUAAAAACAUGGCUGCCAGGUGGGUGGGGUAAUUUUCUAUAUAGGCCUAUUUUGAAUACUUUGGAACACCUUAUUUUUAAAGUCAGUCUUGUCAUACUAAUAAUUUGAAAUAUUUGCUGAAGAGUUUUAAUCUUUGUUUCUUUUAAUCUAAGUCUCUCAGGUGAGCGACCCAGGGCCCUUUGGGGUCUCUUGUUUGUAUCUCUAAACAGUUCAGAUAUUCACUUUCAAUAGUCACCCAUUACUGCACUGCAUACAUUUUCAUAUAUAUUUACAUGAACUUUGAGGGAAAAGGAAUUUCAGUUUGAUUAUUGGCAAAUAUAAAAUUUGUAGCCAACUGUUAAUUAAUAAAAAAAUGUGCAGUAAUUUGUAUGUGAUAAUCAACUUCUACUCAGAUAUGUGUUAUUUUGCUUUUGAUAUUACUUUUUGUAUAUUUGUAUUGUACUUAUUUUGUACCAAAUAAAAAAGCAUUACCAUCCUA